UGAAAAACGAAUUAGGGUUUUUCUAGACCUCUUAUAAAUAUCGAAAGGAUCGACAUCAUUCUUCACGAUCGCAUUCGGCGAUUUCAUUUGGACAAAUUCGGCGGACCACGAUAAAGAGUCGGUGAAAAACCUAGGGCAACAUGAGGGCUAAGUGGAAGAAGAAGCGUAUGAGAAGGUUGAAGAGGAAGCGCCGAAAGAUGAGACAAAGAUCCAAGUAGAGGAUGGAAAUCGAUAGUGAGAUUGUUCUUUUUUCAGAACCAGCUUCUUUUCUGGCUGACUAGCAAUCACGAUGAACUGAAGGAAGUUCUGUAUAGGGAGCUUUCUUGUUGUCUAUUCUGUUCCUAUCUUGACUUCGAGCGUCUUGUUUUCUAUGAGUUUUGAGAAAAUUUAGGUUUUACAGUAAUGACUAGCUUCUGCUACUUUUAUGUUGUCAUUUGAGUGAAAGACUCAUGUUAAAACCUAUUUUAUCCAUUCUGCGCAACUAAGAAUGGAUGCAGUGUUUUUAGCCAUAUAUCUCUAUUGAUGUCUUCUUUCAUUUA